rnacentral:rRNA from 1 species
GACGAACGCUGGCGGCGUGCCUAAUACAUGCAAGUCGAACGCUUCUUUCCUCCCGAGUGCUUGCCCUCAAUUGGAAAGAGGAGUGGCGGACGGGUGAGUAACACGUGGGUAACCUACCCAUCAGAGGGGGAUAACACUUGGAAACAGGUGCUAAUACCGCAUAACAGUUUAUGCCGCAUGGCAUAAGAGUGAAAGGCGCUUUCGGGUGUCGCUGAUGGCUGGACCCGCGGUGCAUUAGCUAGUUGGUGAGGUAACGGCUCACCAAGGCCACGAUGCAUAGCCGACCUGAGAGGGUGAUCGGCCACACUGGGACUGAGACACGGCCCAGACUCCUACGGGAGGCAGCAGUAGGGAAUCUUCGGCAAUGGACGAAAGUCUGACCGAGCAACGCCGCGUGAGUGAAGAAGGUUUUCGGAUCGUAAAACUCUGUUGUUAGAGAAGAACAAGGACGUUAGUAACUGAACGUCCCCUGACGGUAUCUAACCAGAAAGCCACGGCUAACUACGUG